GUGACUCCUACGGGAGGCAGCAGUGGGGAAUAUUGCACAAUGGGGGAAACCCUGAUGCAGCCAUGCCGCGUGUGUGAAGAAGGCCUUCGGGUUGUAAAGCACUUUCAGUAGGGAGGAAGGUAGUGUAGUUAACACCUGCAUUAUUUGACGUUACCUACAGAAGAAGCACCGGCUAACUCCGUGCCAGCAGCCGCGGUAAUACGGAGGGUGCGAGCGUUAAUCGGAAUUACUGGGCGUAAAGCGCAUGCAGGCGGCCUGUUAAGUCAGAUGUGAAAGCCCCGGGGCUUAACCUCGGAAUUGCAUUUGAAACUGGCAGGCUAGAGUCUUGUAGAGGGGGUAGAAUUUCAGGUGUAGCGGUGAAAUGCGUAGAGAUCUGAAGGAAUACCAGUGGCGAAGGCGGCCCCCUGGACAAAGACUGACGCUCAGAUGCGAAAGCGUGGGGAGCAAACAGGAUUAGAUACCCUGGUAG
rnacentral:rRNA from 1 species